rnacentral:pre_miRNA from 1 species
UGAGGUAGUAGGUUGUAUAGUUGUAGGGCAGUGAUUUCCCUCUUAGUUAUUUUUCUACGUUGCCUGCUUGGAGAUAACGAUACAACCUACUGCCUUCC